ACUGAUACACUUUGCCCAGAUUACAGUUUUUGCACUGUUUCGACUCUAUUUCGCGCCGGUCGAUGCUAAAACUCUUCUAACCUCUCUUAAACUCACUUUUAACCCUUCCAACAUUAUUGGAAGGUUAAUUGAAACUUGUCCAAUCAAUCCUUUCGCACACUUUAGUCAAUUUGGCUAAAGUUUGAUAUUUUUCUACCGAGUUUCGGUACGUUACACCACCACCCCUCUUUCUCUUGUUCUCAGCUGAGAACUCAUCUUCUCUCUAAUUUUCUCCCCCUCUCUCUCU
rnacentral:lncRNA from 1 species